rnacentral:lncRNA from 1 species
UCCUGCCCAAAAACUGCUCAGCUUGCACUUGAUCCUGCAUCUGCAUUAGUUCGAACCAUCGCCUGCCAUUGAUUAACACUGCCACACCACCAGCCCAGCCACACCGCCUUGCUGCCCAGAACUUGAACCUAUACGAUCCAAUUAUUAUUUGCAUAUGACGCUGCAAAUGCAUGCAGUUAAUCCGUACCUAUUGAACCUGCAUCUCGCUCGCCUCGAACCAGUCUUGCCGCCUGCUUGAAUCUCCCGCGCCCACCCACCACCUGCAAAUCAGCCUUGAACCUCUCCAUCCUUAUUGCGCUGCUACAUCCACCGAUCCACGAAUCUGAUCAUUUUGUUGUUGUUGUUCUAAGGGAAGAUUGAUUCAAUGCAAGAAAAAAUUAUGUUUGUUGAAGGUAAUCAUUCAAAAAAGUUCCAGGAGAAAGGGAAAAAAAACAAGGUUUGAUGUCUUUGAGGCCCACAUGAGUUGUUGGUUUGUUUGAGAUUAUUUUGUGACCGUCACUCGAGUGCUUGGAAUUGUGACCACUUAAGUGAUAGUGUUUGUGUUUGUUCAUUCGUUGCUACAAUUGAGAUAUGGAAAUCCCGUCUGUUUAGUGACGGGUUCUUUCUAUAUUCUCAACACUAGCCAAUCUGAAUCAGAAUCAGUUUACCUUCCAGAAUCAGUUCGCCAAUUCGCAAGUUCACAAGUCAAGUUAAGUCAAGUGUCAAGUCAGGUUAAGUCAAGUGUCAAGUCAGGUCAGGUCAAGUCAAAGUCAAGUCAAGGUCAAGUCAAGGUCAAGUCAAGUCAAGGUCAAGUCAAGUCAAGUUAAGUCAAGUCAAGUUGCAUGACAGUCUGCCUAACGAAGCUAGUCCGCAUCUGCUUGUUUGCAAACUCAUGUUGUAUACCACCAUGAGUUUGACGAGGGGUGUUGAAAAAUAUUAGUAUUUUGGUUUAUUUGAAUGUUUGGUUUUCUGGGCUUAGCCCGUUAGCAUUAGGGUUUUGAUUUCUUACCUUUUAGGAUUAAGGUUAGUUUAUUAUAAAUAGCAUGCUCGUUAUUCAGUCGAGAACAAGUUAGUUAUGAUUUAGCCUAUUGUGGUUUUGUAACCAUUCCGGCAUUCUCGUUUGUUUAAUAAUAUUCUUAUUAUUUUGUAGUCUUAUUUGUUCCACACUCUGAUAUUCAACUUCCUUCCCCUUCCGACCUAACCCCUCCCUUCCCG